rnacentral:rRNA from 1 species
AGCAGCCGCGGUAAUUCCAGCUCCAAUAGCGUAUAUUAAAGUUGUUGCAGUUAAAAAGCUCGUAGUUGAAUUUUGGGUUUGGCCAAUUGGUCCGUUCUUGUAACGAGUACUGGUUGGUUGGGCCUCACCGCCUGGUGAUACGUAAUGUCCUUUAUUGGGUGUUGCGAGUAGCCAGGACCUUUACCUUGAAAAAAUUAGAGUGUUUAAAGCAGGCUUAUGCCGGAAUACAUUAGCAUGGAAUAAUAGAAUAGGACGAUGAUUCUAUUUUGUUGGUUUCUAGGAGCAUCGUAAUGAUUAAUAGGGAUAGUUGGGGGCAUUAGUAUUCAAUUGUCAGAGGUGAAAUUCUUGGAUUUAUUGAAGACUAACUACUGCGAAAGCAUUUGCCAAGGAUGUUUUCAUUAAUCAAGAACGAAAGUUAGGGGAUCGAAGACGAUCAGAUACCGUCGUAGUCUUAACCAUAAACUAUGCCGACUAGGGAUCGGGCGAUGUUGUUUCAAUGACUCGCUCGGCACUUAUGGAA